AGGACGAACGCUGGCGGCGUGCCUAAUACAUGCAAGUAGAACGCUGAAGAGAGGAGCUUGCUCUUCUUGGAUGAGUUGCGAACGGGUGAGUAACGCGUAGGUAACCUGCCUUGUAGCGGGGGAUAACUAUUGGAAACGAUAGCUAAUACCGCAUAACAAUGGAUGACACAUGUCAUUUAUUGAAAGGGGCUAAUUGUUCCACUACAAGAUGGACCUGCGUUGUAUUAGCUAGUAGGUGAGGUAAUGGCUCACCGUAGGCGACGAUACAUACGCCGACUGAGAGGUGAUCGGCCACACGUGGGACUGACGACC
rnacentral:rRNA from 1 species